rnacentral:rRNA from 1 species
CCUACGGGUGGCAGCAGUGAGGAAUAUUGGUCAAUGGGCGCGAGCCUGAACCAGCCAAGUAGCGUGAAGGAUGACUGCCCUACGGGUUGUAAACUCCAUUUAUAAAGGAGUAAAGUGAGGCACGUGUGCCUUUUUGUAUGUCCUUUAUGAAUAAGGAUAGGCGAACUCCGGGCCAGCAGCCGCGGUAAUACGGAGGAUCCGAGCGUUAUCCGGAUUUAUUGGGUUUAAAGGGAGCGUAGAUGGGUUGUUAAGUCAGUUGUGAAAGUUUGCGGCUCAACCGUAAAAUUGCUAUUGAUACUGGCAGCCUUGAGUGCAGUUGAGGUAGGCGGAAUUCGUGGUGUAGCGGUGAAAUGCUUAGAUAUCACGAAGAACUCCGAUUGCGAAGGCAGCCUACUAAACUGCCACUGACAUUGAGGCUCGAAAGUGUGGGGAUCAAACAGGAUUAGAUACCCGAGUAGUC